UGAACGCUGGCGGCGUGCCUAAUACAUGCAAGUCGAGCGAACGGACGAGAAGCUUGCUUCUCUAAUGUUAGCGGCGGACGGGUGAGUAACACGUGGAUAACCUACCUAUAAGACUGGGAUAACUUCGGGAAACCGUAGCUAAUACCGGAUAAUAUUUUGAACCGCAUGGUUCAAAAGUGAAAGACGGUCUUGCUGUCACUUAUAGAUGGAUCCGCGCUGCAUUAGCUAGUUGGUAAGGUAACGGCUUACCAAGGCAACGAUGCAUAGCCGACCUGAGAGGGUGAUCGGCCACACUGGAACUGAGACACGGUCCAGACUCCUACGGGAGGCAGCAGUAGGGAAUCUUCCGCAAUGGGCGAAAGCCUGACGGAGCAACGCCGCGUGAGUGAUGAAGGUCUUCGGAUCGUAAAACUCUGUUAUUAGGGAAGAACAUAUGUGUAAGUAACUGUGCACAUCUUGACGGUACCUAAUCAGAAAGCCACGGCUAACUACGUG
rnacentral:rRNA from 1 species